rnacentral:rRNA from 1 species
GACAGAAGGUGCAAGCGUUACUCGGAAUUACUGGGCGUAAAGCGUCUGUAGGUGUCCUGCCACGUCUGGCGUAAAAGUUCGGGGCUCAACCCCGAAUGCGUGCUGGAAACGAGCGGGAUCGAGUCAUUCAGAGGCAUCUGGAAUGUCGUGUGUAGGGGUAAAAUCCGUAGAUACACGAUGGAACGCCAAAAGCGAAGGCAGGAUGCUGGGAAUGCACUGACACUCAGAGACGAAAGCGUGGGGAGCAAAGGGG